rnacentral:rRNA from 1 species
CGGACGGGUGAGUAACGCGUGGGAAUGUGCCCUUCUCUACGGAAUAGUCCCGGGAAACUGGGUUUAAUACCGUAUACGCCCUUCGGGGGAAAGAUUUAUCGGAGAAGGAUCAGCCCGCGUCUGAUUAGGUAGUUGGUGGGGUAAUGGCCUACCAAGCCUACGAUCAGUAGCUGGUUUUAGAGGAUGAUCAGCCACACUGGGACUGAGACACGGCCCAGACUCCUACGGGAGGCAGCAGUGGGGAAUCUUAGACAAUGGGCGCAAGCCUGAUCUAGCCAUGCCGCGUGAGUGAUGAAGGCCUUAGGGUCGUAAAACUCUUUCGCCAGGGAUGAUAAUGACAGUACCUGGUAAAGAAGCCCCGGCUAACUCCGUGCCAGCAGCCGCGGUAAUACGGAGGGGGCUAGCGUUGUUCGGAAUUACUGGGCGUAAAGCGCGCGUAGGCGGACUAUUAAGUCAGGGGUGAAAUCCCGGGGCUCAACCCCGGAACUGCCCUUGAUACUGGUAGUCUUGAGUUCGAGAGAGGUGAGUGGAAUUCCGAGUGUAGAGGUGAAAUUCGUAGAUAUUCGGAGGAACACCAGUGGCGAAGGCGGCUCACUGGC